CAGGACGCAUCUGCCAUUUUAAAAUGGAAUAAAAGCUCUCUGGAGAUGAUAUACCUUCUUUGGUGGUCAUCAGUGAACCUGCCGGCAUCUCCCUUCUCUCCCCUCCAGGCACAUGGUAAGGUUGCAUCUCCUUGCUCCCUUGAAAUGAGGAGUGGCCAUGUGACUGGUUCUGAACACAGGGUGUGGCCAACCUGACACGUGUGACAGUGGAGCUUGUGUGACUUGUCAGUGCUCCUUCCCUUGCUGGGGUGACCACUAAUGUUACAGAGGGUGAAGGCACCAUCGGUGGGGUCCGUGGGUGAGAGCGACAGGAGCAGGGUAUCUUGCCAAGCAGGGGUGGGCAGGGAGCAUCAGAAAGAAAUGAGCUGUGUUACUACGCUGAGCCACUGAGGUUUCACGGUUGUUAUCCAUCAUCCAGCCCGUCCUCACUAAUAUACCUGCCUCGUCAGGAAAAGAGAAUCCAGGUGAAGCAAGACUUGGCUUGUGCCCAUUCGGAUUGUCCGCCCGAUGCUUUGGUGUUGUGUUCAGCUGGGAUCUCCCCAUGAGCUGCAAGCUGUAUGGGCUUUCACAGACCAAGAGGCUUACAGUGGAAAGAGAGGAUGCCUGCAUCUAGAACCUUCUUCCCAUCUCUUUUCAAGGUC